CCCUUAGAUGUUCUGGGCCGCACACGCGCUACACUGAAGGAGGCAGCGUGUACUCCUGGAUCGAAAGAUUUGGGUAACCCGCGAAUCUCCUUCGUGCUAGGGAUUGAGGUUUGCAAUUAUCCUUCAUGAACGAGGAAUUCCCAGUAAGUGCAAGUCAUAAGCUUGCGCUGACUACGUCCCUGCCCUUUGUACACACCGCCCGUCGCUACUACCGAUUGAAUGAUUUAGUGAGGACUUCGGACUGGGACCGAUGCGGCUUUCGGGCUGCGUCGGUAUUCUGGAAAGAUGUCCAAACUGUAUCAUUUAGAGGAAGUAAAAGUCGCAACA
rnacentral:rRNA from 1 species